UAACGAGUUAGUAUAAUUAAUACCCUUAAUUUAGACUUAAAAAAAAGAAAUAUAAAUCUCUACUCGUUAA
rnacentral:tRNA from 1 species